GGGCCCGCACAAGCGGUGGAGCAUGUGGUUUAAUUCGAUGAUACGCGAGGAACCUUACCAGGGCUUAAAUGUAACGGGACAGAUCUAGAGAUAGAUCCUUCUUCGGACUCAUUACAAGGUGCUGCAUGGUUGUCGUCAGCUCGUGCCGUGAGGUGUCAGGUUAAGUCCUAUAACGAGCGCAACCCCCAUCGUUAGUUGCCAACGAGUAAUGUCGGGAACUCUAACGAAACUGCCGGUGCAAACCGUGAGGAAGGUGGGGAUGACGUCAAAUCAUCACGGCCCUUACGUCCUGGGCUACACACGUGCUACAAUGGUCGGUACAGAGAGCAGCCACUACGCGAGUAGGAGCAAAUCUCUUAAAGCUUGUCUCAGUUCGGAUAGGAGUCUGCAACUCGACUCCUUGAAGUUGGAGUCGCUAGUAA
rnacentral:rRNA from 1 species